rnacentral:rRNA from 1 species
GAUGAACGCUGGCGGCGUGCCUAAUACAUGCAAGUCGAGCGAAUGAUGAGGAGCUUGCUCCUCUGAUUUAGCGGCGGACGGGUGAGUAACACGUGGGUAAUCUGCCUGUAAGACGGGGAUAACUCCGGGAAACCGGGGCUAAUACCGGAUAACAAGAGAAGAAGCAUUUCUUCUUUUUGAAAGUCGGUUUUGGCUGACACUUACAGAUGAGCCCGCGGCGCAUUAGCUAGUUGGUGAGGUAACGGCUCACCAAGGCGACGAUGCGUAGCCGACCUGAGAGGGUGAUCGGCCACACUGGGACUGAGACACGGCCCAGACUCCUACGGGAGGCAGCAGUAGGGAAUCUUCGGCAAUGGGCGAAAGCCUGACCGAGCAACGCCGCGUGAGCGAUGAAGGCCUUCGGGUCGUAAAGCUCUGUUGUUAGAGAAGAACAAGUACGAGAGUAACUGCUCGUACCUUGACGGUACCUAACCAGAAAGCCACGGCUAACUACGCGCCAGCAGCCGCCGUAAGAC